UUACGGCCACAUCAUGUUGAAAGACUGGUUCCCGUACGAUUACUGCUAAGCAACAUCGAGCCUGGUCAGUACCUAGAUGGGUGACCGCAUGGGAAUACCAGGUGCUGUAA